rnacentral:lncRNA from 1 species
CCGCUCCGCCGGCGGAGAGGGGCGCGGAGGGGGAAGAGGCGUGCGGAGAAGGGAGAAGGCAGCAGGGGCAGGCGGAGAGAAAAGGGGAGAGAGAGGGGACAGAGAGAAAGAAAGGAAAGGCACAGAUAGGAAGAGGGAGCAAGGAAAGGCAGAUUAACAGGACGAAAGAGGGACAAGGGAGAAGAGGGGGGAGAGAGAAAGGAAAGAGAGGUUAACGCGAAGAAAGACGGAGGGACGCACACAUGGACGGCAAGAAAGAGCCAUCUGUCAUCAGAGGCAGGCAGGGGCAGAGCGAUGGCUUAGGAAGAGCCCGGGGGGGAGGAGACCCCCGGGCACUACUUUGCUGCCCCAGGAAGAGAAAAUCCAUUCAGGACAAACUCUUCUUCAUUAUGAAUUUCCAAAAGAGAGAGAAACU